rnacentral:rRNA from 1 species
GCCAGCAGCUAUAUCACCCUGCAACUCUCAGCUGGAUACCCACUGAAGCUAAGCAGAGUUGAGGCUGGUCAGUACCUGGUUGGGAGACCACCUGAGGAAGCUAUGGCUGCUGCUGGAA